CCUACGGGGGGCUGCAGUGGGGAAUAUUGGGCAAUGGAGGAAACUCUGACCCAGCAACGCCGCGUGCAGGAUGAAGGUUUUCGGAUUUUAAACUUCUGUUGCGAGGGAUGAAGAAUGACGGUACCUCGUGAGGAAGCCCCGGCAAACUACGUGCCAGCAGCCGCGGUAAUACGUAGGGGGCAAGCGUUGUCCGGAAGUACUGGGCGUAAAGGGAGUGUAGGCGGCCUGUUAAGGUAUAUGUGAAAGCCCCCGGCUUAACCGAGGAACUGCAGAUAAAACUGGAGGGCUGGAGUGCAGGAGAGGUAAGCGGAAUUUGUGGUGUAGCGGUGGAAUGCGUAGAGAGUAGGAAGAACACCGGAGGCGAAGGCGGCUUACUGGACUGUAACUGACGCUGAGGCUCGAAAGCGUGGGGAGCGAACAGGAUUAGAUACCCGAGUAGUC
rnacentral:rRNA from 1 species